CAGAAUAUGUUUAAAAAAGAUCACUUCUCCUGCAACACGGAAGAAUAAACAACAAAUAAAGAAAUAUAUAUGUCGAUAAAACAAAUUUUUAAAAUGAAAAGAAUUAAAUAGUUAUCACCAUAUCAAAAUGCUAGGUUCCAUGCCAUGAAGCAGAUUAUUAGUGUGACAAACCAUGCUGCAGGAAAACAUGUUCAAAAUUCAUUUCGUAUGUCAUGCAAUUGAAGCCCAGAAAUUAAAAUAAUAAAGAAUGGCUCAAUGAAGAAAUUUGAUUUUUAUCUGCUGUUGUUCUUUUCCGGUGUAUGAAACGUUCUAGAUAAUGAAGAUUUCACAGACUGCAAGAUGGAUAAAUGCAUCGCCAGGUUAUCAAAUGAAGAAUUAUAUCCCAAACAAGUUUUGAUAACCAAUCCAUAAAAGAAGAGACAAGAUAAGUGUUAAAAUUCAUGAUAUCUACAAUCUGAGGGGAACAUAUUAAUAAGCAAACAAUAUGGCCAACUAGUUAAAAAAUCAAGUAACAAAAGAAGGUAUGAACAAGAAUAAACAAACAAACUUCAUAAUCAAGAAAUCAAAAGCAUAUCUUCUCAUGUAACACCAUCAAGAAAUCAAAAUCAUAUCCUCUUAAUACCAAAAAGUAAAUUAACAAUUUAACAAUUCAAGAAACAUUUGUUCUUAGAAUCAAGAAUGUAAGAUUGAAACAAAAAGGAUUUACUAGAUAUCACCAAAUCAAAACUUCAGGCUCUAUGCUGUGAAGGAUAUUAUUAUUUUGACAAACCAUACUGCUGUCUAAACCAACAAAAACAAAUAAUCAACCAGACAAAUCAUGAAACCGAAAGAAUCAAUCAAAAAUGAAUUAACAGUGCAAAACAUGAAGACCAAACAAGAGGAAGAUACAUACAACCAGAAGAAAUCGUAUGUUACAAAAUUACUUUUCCUGCAAGACCAACGAGGGUAAAAAACAGGUCAAGAAAUACAUGAUGAAAUACAUGAUCUCAGAGACGAUAAAGAAUUUUUAAAAAUGAAAAGAAUUUAAUACAUAUAACCAGAAGAAAUCGUAUGUUACAAAAUUACUUUUCCUGCAAGACCUAAGAGGGUAAAAACAGGUCAAGAAAUACAUGAUCUCAAGAGACAAUAAAGAAUUUUAAAAAAUGAAAAGAAUUUAAUACAGAUCACCAAAUCAAAACGCUAGGCUCCAUGCAUCAUUGAAGAAAUUUGAUUUAUCAAUGUGAAGCCAUUCUCUGUACAUAUCCAUUGAGUCAAGAAUCGCAAAAUGUUUAGUUUCUCAAAAUUCCACUUCCAGCAUAAUGGUUAAAUGCAUAUCUCAAGUAUCUAACAUGAUGAUCUCGAUUAUGAAGAACUACAACCAAUAGUUUGAAAAUAAACAUAUCACAACGAUCCAUAUAGGAGUAGAGAGAAUCGUGAAAUCCUUGAUAUUCUAAAAUCUAAUAAAGCAUAUCAAAAUGCCACAACAUAAAGAUCUCCUUGAUAGAAGCAAAUCAAAGACCCAAUCAAAAAGAUAAAGUCCAGACUCACAUUCCUGAUACAAAAACAUGAAACUGUACCACUAGCAGGGCACACAAUCAGAGCAUAACUAUCCCAUCCCAACACAAAUUAACAUGCAAGGGAAAAAACAACCAUUUUUACUUAUCCCUGGGCUGAACGAAGAGUAAGAUGUAUGGCCAGGUUUAUUCCAAGUCUAAUCAGAAGUAUAAAAACCUACAUGAAGAGUAAGAGGAAAGCCCAUCAUAGAAAGAGUAAAUAACAAAAAAAGUAAUGACUAGAAGUAGAAGACUGCUGGCCUGAGAAGGCGGCCUCUGAUAGAACCAGAGUAUGUUUACAGUUCACUUCUCCUGCAACACGAAAGAGUAAAUAAAAAAUAAAGAAAUGUAUGAUGACGAUAAAAGAAAUUUUCAAAAUGAAAAGAAUCUAAUGGAAAUCACCAAAUCAAAAUGAAAACAACAUGUUAAAAAUUCAAUCCGUAUGUCUUGCAAUUGAAGCCCAGAAAUUAAAUUAAUAAAGAAUGGAUCAUUGAAGAAAUUGAUUUUUAUCUAUCUGGAGCUGUCGUUCUUGUCCGGUGUAUAAAAACAUUCUAGAUAUCAAGACUUCACAGCUAUGGAUAAAUGCAUCGCCAGAUUAUCAAAUUAAGAAUUAUAUCCCAAAAAUUAUAGAAACAAGUUAUGAUAAUCAAUCAGUAAAAGGAAGAGUCAGCAGAUGUGUUAAAAUUCAUGAUAUCUACAACCCAGUGCUACGCUCCAUGCAUCAAGCAGGUUUUUAGUGUAACAAACCACGCUGCAGCAAAACAUGUUGAAAAUUCAAUUUGCAUCUCUUGCAGUAAAAACCCAGAAAUAAAUGUAACAAAGAACGAAUCAUUGAAUAAACUGAUUUAUCUAUCUGAAGACAUUCUCCAUUUUUCAUAUGUUGUAUCAAGCCUUUCUAGUUAUCAAGAUUCAAGACUUCUCAGCUCGCUGCAAAACGGCCAAAUGUAUGUCUCGAUUAUAUAACGAAGUUUAUAUCCAAUAAUCCAAAAAUUACAGAAAUAAUUCUUGAUAACGGAUCGUAAAAGAAGAGUGAAAAGAAACAAAUUAAAUAUCGCUUAUAGGAAAACCUGAAAUUAAACAAUCAGGGAGCAAACAAUCUGGCUAAUGGAUCAAGAAAGGAAAGAAAUUAGAAGAAGAUCAAGCAACCUCAUAAGUAUAAUUCGAAAAAUUACACAAAUAAUUCUUUAUAACCAAUGGUAACAACAUAUUCUGGAAAAGUAUGAUAGUGUGAAAUAUAUGCUUCUCAUAUGGAAAUAUUGUAAGAAAAGAAUUUACUAACAAUCACCAUAUCAAUACUCGAGGAUGCAGAAAAACAAUGGCAGGUUAUAUUUUUUGACAAACCAGGCCGCAGAAAAACCAUGGGAGGUUAUUAUUUUGACAAACCAAGCUUCAGAAAAACCACGUUCACAGUUCGAUUCGUCUCAUAGUUAAAGAUCUGGAGAAAUUCAAUUUAUAUCUGAAGCCGUUCUCCGUUCGUAUAUGUUGUGUCAGCAAUCGCAAAACAAUCUGGACUUCCAGACUUCAGCUCGCUGCAAAACGGAUAAAUGCAUGUCUCGAUUAUCCAAUUAUGAACAACCAUAUCCAAUAAACCAAAAAAAUAAACAAACAACAAUUCUUGAAAAACCAAUCCAUGAAAAAAGAGCCAGGAGAACUGUGACAUUCGUGAUAGAAGCAUAUCAAAAUACAAGUCCAAAAUGAACUCCUUGAUAGAAGCAGCACAAAGACUCCAGAAACAAGAACAUAAUAACUGCAACUCUAACAGAGCACAGAUACAGAUGUAGGCAAAAAAUGACCAGUUUUAUUCAUCCGAAGGCUGAACGGAAAGUAAGCGAACCUCUCUGCAUGCCACACAAUUAUAGGCUUACUCCCCUUGUAACACAGAGAAAACUCAAAGGAUCUGACAAAAGUGGAUGACAGCCUGUAGACAGUAGACAGUAUAUGACAAUGACAGCCUGUAGAAAGAUAAUGAUUCAUUGGAACAAUUUUGCAAGAUCGUCAUGCAACCACAUGAAAGACAAUUUAGCUUUCUACUAAUACAGAGAAGUCCCUACACAACAUAAUGAAGAGGAUAUCUUUUAAGGAGGAUCAUCAUCAUAAUAAAUAAACAAUAUCAAAACAGUAAAAGAAGACUAUAGACAGACUCUCCCAUCAAAGUUAUGUCAUCACCAACAUACCAAAAACACACAAAAACUUGAACACAGAAAGAAACACAAAAUCAUGAACACCAGCUUCUACACAAUUAGGACAACAAUUCAGAAACAAAAACAUAUACGUAUGUAAAAGAUAACCAAUUAUAUCCCAAGGACGAAUGAGAAGGUCUGGGCCAAUCAAAUUCAAGCUUGUGAGAAGAGUCAUGAAGCACGAAAGCAUAAAUAAUGCUCACAUCUAAAUUAGAUCGCCAAAUUAAGCCUCACAGAGAUUGAGAAUUUAACUUGUUAUUCAUGUAAUUAGUUGCAGAAGAUAAAUAGUACAGAGCAGAAGCACUCAUCUCCAAUUUCUCAACUUCAGACAGCAAAAUAAACAAGGUACAGUGUAGUAGAGAAAAGGAGACUACUGUUGAACACUUACCCUGUAACAGCACAAAGUUGUCCAAACCAAGCUGCUAAUCCGCAGAUCAUAGUUACGAAGUAAACCCCACAAAGUUGUCUCAAUUUCUCAGAAUUGUGUAACCACUACUCCGUCACAUUACAUGUGAAAAACAUAAAUGUAAUAAAACAGUAGUUUGAUGGAGUAGUGUAACAGAUAGUUGCAAAAUAAAAGAGAAGAUUAGCAUAAUUCUCCAAACCAAGCCGCUGAACAAAAGAUCAUAGUUACAAGAGAGCCCCUCACAAGCUGUCCCAUUUCUCCAGAAAAAUAUGUAAACUAUCACACUAUCAGAUUACAUGCCAAAUACCUAUAUGUAAGAAAACAGUAGUGAUUGAGAAAGAUACACAAAAACAUGUAACAAUUACCCAGUCCAAAUGACACAAACGGGCAACCCGUGCACUAAAGCUCCUUCAUACGCAGGGUUCGGGAAAGGGUCCCACCAUUAUUGGUGUAUUGUACGCUGCCUUAACCUGUUUUUUACACAAGAGGCUGCUUCCAGGACUUGAACACCAAAUAACACAUGCACAAAAAUAUUACACUGUACCACCUAAUUAUAGAAAAAACCAAGUAAGAGAAACAAGAGUAGUAUUAACCAAGUAGUAUUAAAUAACACAUGCACAAAUGAAGCCACUGAUAAAAAGAUCAUAUUUACAAAAACACAUAAAUAACUUACUUAAUUUCUCCAGAUUUGUGUAAACUCAAUUUACAGGUCAGAAAUCUAAAUGUAAGAUAACAGUAGUAUUAAGCAGUCCGCGAACCGUAAGGUUGAACUUCUCAGUAUAAGGGAGUAAAACAAGACUGAACGAUAAAUUUGAGGAUAAUGAAUACUGAACUCAUCUCUCACCCCACUUAAACAGACUUAUCUCUCGCGUGUAACACCCAAGUGACAUAAAGGAGUAAGUCAAAAUGACAGGAUAGUAGAACUUUACAGAGAAUUAAUGAGAUAAAAACUAUUCACAACCAAGAAGAGUGUAUCAAAAUACACCUGAUUGCUUGGUGCUACACAGAACAGUCUCAAAACACACAGCACUGCAGAAAACAGAAAAUGUUUCAAUUCACAAUUUAGUAUAAUCAUGUAGUUUCACAAAACAUUACUACCAUUAUCUAAAACUCAAUCGGCAACAUCUCAAGAGAAAAUUCACAUAUGAACUCAAGGCUCCAUGCUAUGAAAAAAUAACUUCAAUAAUUACGCCGUAUGCCUCUUCCAUCAUAUCACUUGGCUCUAAAAAGAAGACAGAUAAUGGAAAGGAGGAUGAGGGAGGAUAUAAGAGAAGUGUGAGACAAUGGAUAAUGGUAAAAAUUCAUUAAGUUUAAUGAUAUUUUUGUCAAUUCAAGUGUAAAGACGCCAGCUAAUUAUUUUCCUUUGAUUGUGAAAAAUGUUACAAUUCUUUUGCUAGUUUUAAUUUCAAAGAUACAAAGAUUUAAUUGUAAUAUUUUACACUACACUGUUAAAUGGUGAAUAUUAUCAUUUUUUUUUUAUGAACAAGCGUGAAUAUUAUAUCUAUUGUGAUUUCUGAAUAGAAGUUUUAAUCUAACCUUAAUGAAGUUUUAAUAUCAUUGAGUAAUUUCCAAAUAGAAAAUUAUCAAAGUGAUCUGGUACACAUGCUUAUAUAGAUCAACGGUGUUAAUUAAAAAAUACAUUGAUAAAAUUGUAAUUUUUUACACUACACGUUGUCCUUGCUCGUUAGAAGUUUAAACUUAACCUUACUGAAGGUAUCAGAGUGAUUUCCAAAAAAAAAAAUGAUAAAAGUCAUCUGGUACAAAAUUGAUCAUUAGAACAUCAUAAAAGAUAAUUGAAAAUAACAAAAUUGAUCAUUAGAACAUCAUAAACAUUUGCUUAGUUAUGUCCCUAACACCAUGUUCAAUUUCUACUCUAGUUAACACUGGCAGGUCAAACAACAAAGAGAUAACUUUCAAAAUACAUUAAGCAUUCCUAAGCUAGAAGCAGGCCUGCUUUGUGAACUAAGGAGGAACAAUAAACUCUGCACACUUGGUAUAUUCCAUUAUUGUGGUUGUUCUUAACAAAAAGAAUGCAGGACACGCCAUUAGAAGUAAGAAAUAGCUGGUCUAUCUAUAUUUGCAAUGAACGGGAUAAAAUACAAAGAACCAAUCCAAGCAGAAAGCACAAAGUAUGUAUAACCAAGUAGAAAUCACCUUGAAGCCCGGUGCACUCAGAAAUAUCAACUUAGGAGAACCGAUUUAUUCUUAUGCACAUCGUCAAAUGAUAAACAGUAUAGAAAAGCUCCCCAGAUAAAGACCGCCAUCAGGACAAUCCACCCAAGCUGUCCAAAACAGACUACAGGCAGGCCAAACCAUAAGAGAAUAACUACUCCACCAACAAAGAUACAAAUUUGGGACAGAAGAUUCUUAUAAAACUACAAAAGAUGGCAGACUACCAGAGUAUAACACCAAACCAAGCUGUCCAGAAUUUCAUAUCCUCGUUGCGGACAAAAUCAUAUACUCUAGAAUCUUGUAUGCUUCAGUAUUCAUUCUCCUGAUGCGAAAACACAUAUCCAGCACUAGCAUUAGACAUAUCAAAGGAAAAAUAUCCCUAAUGAUGUAACAUAAACAAACACACGGAUAUGUAAAAAAUUACUGAUCAUAUCACACGGCCGGUUUCCACAGGUCACGGCACACCAUACAUUCAUAGUCGGUCUCCCUUGUAACGCCCUCAAUAUCAAUAGAAAUAUUGAAAAUAAAAAUAGAUUCACAAUCCAAUCUGCAUGUCAUAAGAACAAAUCCCAAAUCUUAGUAAUUUUGAUAUAUCUGGACUCGAGUAUUUCCAAACAUUUUAGAUAUCCAAGCUGACAGAAUCAUAAAUAUUGCCGAAGCUCUCCUAAUAUCUAGAUUCAUAUUUCUAAACAUUGGCACAUCACAAUGUCAAAGGACACCUAUUCCAGAACAAGUACAUUCAAGGCAAGAAAAUGACCAGUGAAAUCCAAGGGUCUGCAUGUUCGUAAUAUUAAGGUUAGCUGCAGCUUUAAAAUCACAGUACAGCAUCUCCCCUGUAACACGAGCUAAGAAAAUUUCACAACAAAAAACCCCAUUUACAGACACAGGGAGUCGGGGUAGGAAUGAGAAAACUAAAUCCACAAAAAGACAAGGAAAACGUGAAGAAGAAAUCUAACUGUCAAAGUAGAAAUAACGAAAUGAAAGCUUAACAACGGCAGCCAAUUGCAGAUUCUGGUGCUCCAUUAAGCUCCCCCCUAAACCAAGUCCUUGCUCCAAUUGCAGAAUCUGUGAGGCAUAACCUUUUUGGAGAGAAGAUUCUUAUCCUCAUGUAUAUAUACCACAAACCGCAGGAAAAUAGAAAACGAAUUAUGAUAGAGGAAGAGACAAAUCAACAAUUAAAGUGCCAAACCAGUCCAGAAUUCUUAUAUGCUUCAUACUCUCAUGAGACAGAACCACAAAAACUCAGACACUUGCAAGAAACCAUCAGAGGACCUGCUAUCCCAAAUCCCAAUAUAAAAACACGGCUAGAAAAUUACCAGUUUUAUCUCAAGGCUGAACAGAACCUUGCUUCGUGCACAUUUAUAGGAUUUUCCUCUAACACUCACAGAAAACUCAAAAAGUAGAUGCUGAUUAUCAAACUAUAGGGAGUAUAUGAAACAGCCUGCAGAGGACGUUGAAUCAGGGUGUGCAAAAAUAAACCUGUACACUUUAAUAAUACACAGACUGGUUAUUUUAAGAUAUAUUAUGCUCCAGAAAACAGGUUUUAAUUCACAAUCCACCAGAAAUGAAUAUCAUGUAUGGAGCUCUGCAAAACAUCACCGUUUUAUGAAACUCAACUGGCAACAUCCAAAACAGAAAAUUCAUAGCAGAACUCCAGUCAUCUUUCCAAGUUCAGCAAAACAUUACUAUUUCCUAUUACUCAAAUAGCAAUACCAUAAAUGCAAAACAACAUCUGUCUACCAAGAAUAAUGUUAGUUGUAACAGGAAUUCAAGAACAAUCAAAAUUGGACUGCAAAAGUUAAAGAUAACGAAUAAUUAAUCACAAAGAAUAAGAAUACUUCACAUGAGGAUCAAACAAGAGAAUGUCACAGAUUAUUGCUCCUGCAACACCAGAGAGCAACGAAUCAAGAAAUAUUCAUACUCUCAGCAACACCAAAAAGUAACCAAUCAAGAAAUAUUCAUACUCUUAGCAGUGAAAGAAAUAUCAUAAAAAAACAGAUUAUGAUAAUAUCACCAUAUAAAAACCCUAUGAUGCGAAGAAAGUUAUUAGAUUUGACAGACCGUGCUGCAGAAAAACAUGUUCAAAAUUCAAUUUGUUCAUAGCCCAGAAAUCAAGUUAAUAAAGGACUCAUUAUCAUUUAUCUUUCAAACACCGUUCCCCCGUUCCUGUCCGUUGAAUCAAGUGUUAUAGAUAUCAAGACUUCCCUGCUCGCAGUACAACGGAUAAACGGAUCUUCUUCUUUUUUUUUUUUUUUUUUUUGAAGUGAAACAUACUUUCAAAAAAACAAAGCUGGAACACAGCCAUCAAACCCACAAUGAUUAUUUCGAUUAUCAACGGAUCUUCAAUUAUCAAAUGAAGAGUUAAAUUGAAAAAUAACACAAAGAUUGAAUAGAUGAAUUUUCUAGAGAUCACCGGGAAAAUACUCAAGGCUCCAUACUACGAAGGAGGUUAUUAUUUAGACAAACCAGGAUGCAGAAAAAGCAUGUUCGCAGUUCAUUUAUUUCGACAAACCACGCUGCAGAAAAGCAUUUUCAAAAUCAAUUUGUAUGUCUUGUAAUCAAAGUCAGAUUAUAAACAAUAAAAAUGGCUCAUUGAAGAAAUUUGAUUUAUCUUGAACCAUUCCCCGUACUUAUAUCUUUGAACCAAGAAUAUGUUGACCUCAGCUGCAAAAUCAAUAAAGAUUUAAACAAAAAGGAUUCACUAUCUUUCAUAUUUAUGAACCAAGGAGAAAAGGUUCUAUGCUAUGUAGGAGGUUAAUUUUUGACAAAACCAAGCUGAAAAAGGAAGUCAUUGAUGUCUUGCAUUAAAAUUAAUAAACAAUAAUCACCAAAAUCAAAACCUCAUAAACAUGAAANAAACAAUGAUCACCAAAAUCAAAACCUCAUAAACAUGAAACCAGAAAGGAAAAAGAAUACAAAACAUGAAGAUCAAAUAAGAGCAAGAAAGAAAGAACCAGAAGAAAUCGUGUUUUCAUAGAUAUUUCUCCUGAAACACCAAAAAGAUCACCAAAUCAAAAAAUCAACUGAAACUGAUUUAAUAAUACAUAAAAAACAAUGAAGAAAUUUUGAAAACAAAAAUAAUUUAACAGACAUCACCAAAUCAAAUCCAUGCUUAGUUUGCAAACUACCCACCACGCUGCAGAAUAAUUAAGAAUAUGUUCAAUAUUCAAAUUGUAUGCUUUCCAAUCAAAUUAAAAUAAUUAAUUAUCAACUAAAGAAAUUUGAUUUAUCUAACUGGAGCCUUUCUUGUACCUUGUAUCAAGAGGUUUCACUGCAAAACCGAUAAAUGAUCUCUCGAUUAUCAAAAUGAAUAAUUAAUUAUAUAAAAAAUUUAAGAAUUUUAAGAAAUUUUUAUGUAAAAGAAGAGUCGAGAGAAGUGUGAUUGUGUGAAAAUGUUGGAAAGUAUAUCUUAACAAUCACUGAAAUUAAGUAAUCACAGAUCAAAGAAACAAGAAAGUAAAACACCAAAUCAAGCAUUCUCUGAAUUGACAUAGAAAGAUAGAACCAAAAAGAUUUACUAGAUAUCACCAAAUCAAAUCUAGAGGCUCCAUGCUAUGAAUAAAGAACAUUUUUAAUACUCUGACAAACCACGCUGCAGAAAUGGAUAAAGGACUCAUUGAAGAAAAAUAAUUAUCUAUCAAGAGCAGUACAACGGAUAAAUGGAUCUUCGAUUAUCAAAGAAGAGUUAUAUCGAAAAAUAAUACUCAUUAACUAAUCGUAAAAGAAGAUUCAAGAAAAGUACGAGAGUGUGAAAUAUAUCCUCUCAGAAGCAUUGAACGGAAAAUUUACUAGAUAGAGAUCACCAGAAAAUUCUCAAGCCUCCAUACUCAGGAGGUUAAUAAUUAGACAAACCAAGCUGCAGAAAAAGCAAGAUCACGGUUCAAUUCUUCUCAUAAUCUAAAACUUGAAAUUAAAAACAAUAAAGAAUGAAUCAUUGAAGAAAUUCGAUUUAUCUAUUUGAAGCCAAUCUCCAUUCAUAUCCGUUGUGUAAAGAAUCACAAAAUGUUUAUAGUUUUUCCGGAUUCCGCCACCUGCUGCAAAUUAAACAUAUAUCUCCAUUAUCUACUUAUGAUAGAAGAAGAUCAAAAGACCCAAGCGAAAAGAUAAACUGCAGACUCCUGAUACAACAUUAUAAAAACUGCAACACUAUCCCAUCACACCAUCAGAGCACAACUAUCCCAUCACACCAUCAGAGCACAACUAUCCCAUCCCAACACAAAAUGAAACCAGUUUUAUUACCAAGGUUGAGUGAAAAGUAGGAUGUAUGACCAGCUUUAUUCCAAGUCUGAACGGAAGUAAUAAACCUAAAUGACAGAUUACAUCAAAGCAGUCACAAUUUCUCCAGAAUUGUGUAAACUAUCACGGUCAGAAUACAUCAAAAACCUGAAUGUAAGGAAAUCAGAGUAAGGCUGAACUUCUAAGAUAUAAACAAGAGGAAGAUCGAUAGAACCAGAAUAUGUUUAAAAAAGAUCACACUUCUCCUGCGACACGGAAGAAUAAACAACAAAUAAAGAUAUAUAUAUGUUGAUAAAAGAAAUUUUUAAAAUGAAAAGAAUUAAAUAGUUAUCACCAAAUCAAAAUGCUAGGUUCCAUGCCACGAAGCAGGUUAUUAGUGUGACAAACCAUGCUGCAGGAAAACAUGUUCAAAAUUCAAUUCGUAUGUCUUGCAAUUGAAGCCCAGAAAUUAAAAUAAUAAACAAUGGCUCAAUGAAGAAAUUUGAUUUUUAUCUAUCGGGGCUGUUGUUCUUUUCCGGUGUAUGAAACGUUCUAGAUAAUGAAGAUUUCACAGACUGCAAAAGAUGGAUAAAUGCAUGUCACAGAGCAAACAAUAUGGCCACCUAGUUAAAAAAUCAAGUAACAAAAGAAGGUAUGAACAAGAAUAAACAAACAAACCUCAUAAUCAAGAAAUCAAAAGCAUAUCUUCUCAUGUAACACCAUCAAGAAAUCAAAAUCAUAUCCUCUUAAUACCAGGAAGUAAAUUAACAAUUUAAC
rnacentral:lncRNA from 1 species